CCAAAGAAUCUGGUUCAACAUCCCUGGAAAGUGCAGAAGACUCAUCUACAAAGGAAGAUGGGGUGCAGGGAAGAAAAACAAGUCUUGUUAAUGUGAGGUGAAACACACACAAUGUUACCAUGGAUGGCUGUCCAUCAUACGAUACCUGUCUCUUCAUGACUAAAAAGAGAACACAGUACGGUCCACUACAACGCAGCUACCUGAUUGCCUAAAACUCCUUUGGGUAACUACAUGUAUAACAUGUUUGUCCAACUGUGCAGGAGUAACUAUGUUACUAGUUUGUGUUGUUAUGGUUCAAUAAGAAAUUGCUAUCAGGUAGAAGAAGUAAUGGUACCAUACUCAAGUACCAUACUGGUGAGUACUACAGGUUUAGUUCUCAGUACACAAAGUAAAAGACUAAGUAUGUAUUGGGGGUGUCUGUACGGGAGUUAAUGCAUAACAUUAUGGCUGACAGAAUGUUGUUCUUUUGUAUGCCAAAGUGUGUGGAAUGCUGUUUGAUAACUCCUUCAGAAUUAAGAAGAAGAUUCCUUAAGGGCAUUUUUACCAAAUAUGGUGAUCCACCUUUUUCCCUGCUCAGGAACAUCAGCUGGCAAAUUACAUCAUGCAAUGGCCUGUGUUUUAAUUUCUCUCUCUGUUGUUUUUCUUAGUAUAAGCUUAAUGCUGUUAGCAUUUCUUGGCUGAUGCUUAAGAAAUAUGAUAGUUACUGUAACAGUACUAUCUUUGGUUUCAACAGUUUUCUGGAUGAUUAAGCCUGCCUUAAGGAUGACGAACACACCUAACCACACCCUGCCCAUGUCCACAUUAGCUGUACUCUGAAUAAACAUUGCUCCCAUGUUUUCAGGUUGGCAGGGGGACAUUUAUCGUACAUCUUAAGGCCUGCAAUUAUGUAAUGUUUCUGGCUUUUUCCAAUUUUCAACUCCUUCAAAACAAAUGGGUAACAAAUUUGCCUAUGCUGUAAUAACAAAUUACAAUGUUAUAAAUAAAUAAAAUGUUUGUUCUUGCAAAUUACUGUUAUAUUGAUUUGCAAUUACAUGCAUAUUGCCAAAACAUGAUGUUUAUUUAUCGUUGACUUUGUAACAGGUGACGUUAUGCUAUAAUAAUAAUUUACACAUUUUACCUAUAAUUCCUCUGUAUUUAUGUUACCAAUAAAAAGUGUUACCUUCUG